GGAGUUUGACACCCCUGCACUGGAGUCACAGAAAAAACAAAAAAGGUUUCUAUAAAGUUGUGGAGCUUUGGGAUCAUUGGGAUCAGGCGGUUCCCUUUGACUCCAGAUUCAGGAGGAGUUUGUUAAUCACUGAUGAGGUCUUCAGACAACCUGCGCUCCUGCAGGCUGGAUGCUCAAGUUCUUUCGGCAGGUUUACUCAGACAGAGGACUUUGACCCAAGUCCAGAGCCGAGUCCAGCAGGCACUGUUCAGUCCAACAGUCUGGUCCAGCUUCUAUAGGCAUGUGACCCGAACCAGCUGGACUGCAGAAACAUCUCAAGGAUGACCAAUCAGAUCUAAAAAGGGCUCAUAUUGGCUCAUAUUGGAUGUGAGUGUAGCUUUUCAUCCUACUACAUGUGGAGAAAGAACAUGAAAGCCAGCCAGCUGACUGGCUGGUCAGAGGGAAGCUGUGGACGGGAUCAUAAGGAGCUGGAAGAAGUUCUGACGUCUUCACACUUCGUCCCUUCCUUCUGCCAUCUUGAACAGGUUCUUUUGAUCCUCAAUCAGAGACUAUGAGCAGAACAUGGAAAAUGACUUUGGAUCUCUGGUAGUCAAAGCGGGUUCAGAAGAUUCCUCUGGUUGGAACCAAACAUCCAGCGACCUGUGAAACUGAACUACCUGAGAAACCCCAACUAUAGCAAAACCCGGCCUUACUGAUCCACUGGACCGGAGGAAACCCAAGGAACACACAACUCUUUUCCACUAGACAUGGUGGUUUCAGCUGAGCAUGGGGGGCGAUCGGUUUUAAACCAAAAUAUGCAAUAAAUGCAAAGAUUAGCCUUCGUUAUGAUCAAUUUCAGAACAGUCUUGUGUCAAAGUGUUUAGAUGUUCUUCAGUCAGGAACACAGAGGGCCUUCUGACGGAGGGCUCCCCUGUUUGGGAAACAUUUCACUCAUCCUGUCUGGUCGGCCAACACUGGCUGUCAGUAACUGUUGCACAGUUUCUUUAAGAAGUAGAUCACAAACAACAAAGUAAAAAAGACAGAAUUUUUUUUUUUAACAGAAACACAUGGUCCUCUAAAGCCUUCAGAAACUGCUCCUGUUGUGUUGUGCUGUCUUGUUGCACCAGAGCGACACGUCAUCGCCAUGGCAACAGGAACUCUGUUCAUUUCCGGUAAAAAAAAAAAAAACAUCCGUCACAUUAUUCUCUAAGGUGACCACUGACGUUAGUUCAUGUUGUAAAUUUGGAUCUUUUCUUUUCCAAGCGUCUCGUUUUGAAUGCCUCAAUAUUUUGCCAAGUGAUUGGUUUCACUUUUUGAAAAAAAGUCUAAAUAAGAGUUCAUUCAUUUGUUCUCUAAGUGCUUUAUUUCCUCCAGAGCGUUGAGAGGCGAGUUAUGACAGAAACCCAGAUCAGGAAACGAAGGAGCUUUUCAUGUCCAGCAGUUCUAACCAGAUCGUCUCCGUUUCAGGCAGAAAUAUUCCUACAUGGUAGCAGAAGUAGAGAAAUAGAAAACCAACAGAAGCAGCAGUUCUGACAUGCAGAAUCAUUCUGGGAAUGAAAGGACACGUAGAGAACUGCAGCAGCAUUUAGAAGCUCAUUUGUUCCUGUUGAGCUCGCAGAGAGUUUGACACAAAGUAAAGCACGGUGGUGCUGGCAUCAUGCUGCGGGGAGGUUUCUCAUACUGCCAGGUGGAUCGGUUUAAAAAUAGAGGCCAUGUUGUUUUCAAGUCGCUGUUAAAAACUUGGUUUCAGUGGAUUUUGACCCACUGUGAGUUUGUUGAUUUCUAUUUAAUUCGGUUGCAUUUUUUUAGUACGUCUUAUUCUGCUUUUAAUGUUUUCUUAUAUUAGUAUUGUCUCAGUUUUAUCUCUCUGCUGUACAGCACGUCAGGUAAACAAGCUUUUUUUUAUUUUUAUAAAUAAAAUGGACUGGUUCAGAACGGGACAACCCCAGAGGUGAAGGAGUGGCCGUCCAUGGACUGCCCGAUCCAAAAGAACGCAUCAAGCGUUGGCUUCUGUUAACAGGAUUCCUGCUGAAAUGGUGACUGAUCUGGUUAGUGGUUCUGUUUGGGAACCAGCGCUCCGGUUCCCAGGUGAGCAGCGGGUCCGCUCCACGCAGCAUGGGUGUGAAGCAGCUCUCUCAAACAUUUGUUCAGUGAUUCAGCUCUGCAGAAACACUAAACCUUAGAGUAUUUUUGGUUUCUACUGCAAAUGUUUAGGUCCACCUGAAAUGCAACAAAACUAACUGAAAACGAUAGUUUCGGCAAGAUAAAGAGCUUGUUUUCAGUUAAUAAUUCCUUAAAAUAAUUUUAAAAAAUUAAGCGCUAUUUCCGCUAGCACAUUAUUUCACUUAUAACCUGGAAAAACGUCUUUUUAAAGAGUUAUUGACCUAAAACAAGCUGCUAUGUCACUACAAGUCCAUUAAAAUAUUAGAACUCGGGAGUAGACAAUAAUACUUUGUAAGAUUUAGUGUUUUUGUAGUGAAAGCAGAGAGAGAUGUUUUUGCAGUUUCUACAGUAAAUGUUGGAAAGAAAAGCUGAUCCAUUUCUGUCCAGGGAGAACAAUUCAGCUACAUGUUUUUUCCCCGUUUUGCUCUUGAGCGACGCACUUCCCCAAAGUUUAUUUUGUCUCGUCUCAUUUUACUCACUCUUUUAAAAAAACUCCACUAUAAUCCCUAACACAGCUAUACAUUAAUGCUAAAGAGAAGCCUGUUGCCAAGGUAGAGAAAGUGCUGUUGUCAAACAUCUUGAAAUGGAAGAAUAAAAUGAACUUUUUGCUUUUCUCCUGCUGGCGCCGGCAGCCUGCAGAGGCCUGAGGCUGGUAAGUGAUGCAGUGGGCGUUGCGCCUGCAGAGCCCUGCUGCACGGUUCGGGGUUAAGAAGCACUCAUGAGACGUGUGACGGACGGCUUUCACAGUUGAUUGGCACCGUUUGGCGACAGCUGCCGACGCAGAUGGGGGCCGCCGGGCUCCCGACUGCUUUAAUGGCAGUUAUGGUGAGAUGAUCCUGCAGCAGAGAGCUUCUGACCCACCCUGCUCGGUGCUCAGCAUCGCUGCAAGCAAGGCACUGGGAGAAAAAAAAAAAAUCAGACGCUGACAGAGGAGGAGGGCAGCGGAGCUGAGCUACAGCAGCAGCAGCACCACUCCCCUCCUGUACUGAUGGAAUGUCAGGCCUGACUGAGCGGAUGUGUCCAUUCACUUGGAGAAAAAAAAAGAAAGUGCAACUCAAACAUUGAAAAAAAAAAACCCCAAACAAAAAACACACACACGCACGCAAACACACACACAAAGUUUAUAUCCCUGAAGGUUCCUCCAAAGAGAUUUGGCAUACUGCGGUUCUACACCGUGCGGUUGGCUGUUUGGGAAGGGGUCGGGUGGGUCAGCCAAUCACAGUGUUGGCGGGGUCCGACAGUCUGGCUGGAUCCGAGCUUCAUUCUGUCAGAGUGGGUUACCUGUGCAAAGGAGGCUUUAAUCUGCUGGGUGCUCCGGACACGAUCUGUUCACCUCAAACCACUCGUCGAUACAGCU